UCGAAAUAUUCUCGCGUUGUCCAAAGACUGUCGAAAUAUUCUCGCGUUGUCCGAAGACUGACGAGUCAAUCCUUGCAUUGCCCAAAAGGCGGUCGAGGCUUUCUAUAAUUUUCAGUGUUUUAAUCGCAUUCGAAAAUUUUCUUUGUUACGGUCACGAAAAGUGCCGGUUAGACGCCAUUGGUAUCAAAUGCGUCGUUCGCGCUAAAAAGCAGUCGCCAUUUUUAUUUUUCUUAGUGCCUUUGUUUCCCGAGCUCACGAGUCGCGAGAUCCCCGCGCUUUCAAGAUGUCUACAGACACAUCGAUGGAACUCGUCAAGGCGAAAUUAAGUGAUUUAUCUCUUCUUCUCUUACGAGCUGAAGGAAGAAAAUACGGCAUCAUCCUACCAAGUCAAGAUAAGGAUAGAUGGAUAGAUGAGAUCUUAGAUCACAUAAUUAGACAAGAAAAGCUGCAAUUAGAAAAAAAUUCUGAGCAAACAGAGACGACAAUGAAGGAACAAAACCCAUCACAUUCCGAUGUAUCAGGUAAUUUGAAAGAAAAUCAUCCUAGUUCUAAUCUGUCUUUUAAAAUUGACUCACAGGACCAGGCAUCCACAAAUACACAGCCUCAAUCUUACUCCUCGUUGAAAGAACAAAUAGAAUUGCAAAAGGAACAAAUGGACCAGCAAAAAGACAUGCUGCAACAACUACAACUGCAUAUUACUACGCAGCCUCAAAGGUCAACCACUAUGCAGCAUUUAGUGCCAACACAUAUACAGCACCAAUGCUCUACAAGUUAUCCAAACCAAGGAUCCUCACCAGAGACGCCUCUGUUGAAUUACUACAAAGCUCAGGAGUCAUAUUCAGAAACUCCUCAAGUAACAGAUUAUGCAGACUCGCAGAUACCUGUUUUCUCACCACAAGGUAUGGUGCGACACAAAUUUCAAGAUACUAAUAAUAACCUUGUUCCAGAAAUGUCAUUCGCUGCCACAGCACAAUCCAUCAAAUUCUUAACGAAUUCCAUAUCUUCCUUUGGUGGUACGGAAGACGAAGACAUCUCCCUAUGGUUGGAAAAAAUAGAGACCAUUGCGGAUAAUUAUGGUCUGUCACCUAUUGUCAGAUUGUCAGCGGCUACCUCCAAACUUAAUAAAGUUGCUCGCCGCUGGAUGGAUUUGAGUCCGGGUAAUAUAAAUAAAUCCUGGGACACUUUUAAAGAUGCAAUCAUUCGAAGAUUCAAAAGGAGAAUCCUCUUCAACGUGGUAAUGCAGAAAAUAAAUGACAGAAAAUGGAAUUUCGCAUCAGAGAGUUUUCAAGAAUACGCCAUGGAUAAGCUUGCAUUAAUACAUCCACUCAGGCUUAAUAAUGAAGACACCAUCCAACUGUUAAUAAAUGGUAUUAACAAUCUUUCCAUUAAAUCAACAGCUGCCUAUAUACGUGCAGAGACAAUAGAUCAUUUUUUGGAGGAAAUGCACCAUAUCACUGAAGUGUGCAGAACCACUAAAACUGUUUCAAAAAAUGACAAAAGAAACAACCCCUCGAAGAAUAACGACUUCAAGGACAGCAACGGUUCCCCUAAAAAUGGACAGCAAAGAUUAUUCAUUUAAACGGAGUGCAGGCUCGUACUUCUAAAAUUUCACGAUAUAAUAACGGCAAUGUGCCCUACGAGCUACAGAUCCAGAGUAAUAUAACAAUCUCCAAUUUAGGGAAAUAUAAUAUGGAACGAACCAAUUUAAUCGAACCGGAACCUGUGGAGUUUUGUGAUGUAAUGAAUACAUCAUCAAGAGUUGCAUUAGAGGGCUAUAUAAAGUCCAAUUUUGGGCCAAUUUAUAAAACUAAUUUGAAUAAGAAAAUUGGAUGUGGAUCCAUCACUGAUGGGUACUUUAAAUUAGAAUUGAUCCACCGUACUUUUCAGUACGAAGUCUAAAAGACAUUAAGAAAUUAGAAGAGCGAAUGUCUUUGACUACUAUAAUAAAUGUUAAUCGCACGUUAAAGAAAAAAAAAUUUGAAGAAAAUUCAUCACAACAGAUAAAAAUUAUAUCAUCAUUAAAAGUAAUAAGUGUAAUCGGUGUGUGUGUACAAGGUAAGUCAAAAGUAUGUUUAAAAAAAUUGUGUAUUCUUGCAUAAAAAGGGACAAGUUCACAAAUUUUGAAAACAAUAUUUUUGAUUCACCUUAUAUCUGCGUAGAGAGAAACAGAGAGUGCAAACUUCUCCAUUUGUUUACAUAAACAGCUUCAGUAAGCAACCACUACGAAGUAGCAAAUAAAUGUAUAAAAAAUGUUUAAAACUCAUUUUAAAAGCUAU